CCCGACUGCUAUCAGAGUGAGACUAAGCCAUGCGAGUCAACGUAUGAAUAAUACGUGGCGAACGGCUCAGUAACACGUAGUCAACAUGCCCAAAGGACGUGGAUAACCUCGGGAAACUGAGGAUAAACCGCGAUAGGUCAUAAGUACUGGAAUGUUUUAUGGCUCAAAUCUACAUGGCCUCUGGAUUGGACUGCGGCCGAUCAGGCUGUUGGUGAGGUAAUGGCCCACCAAACCUGUUACCGGUACGGGCUCUGAGAGGAGGAGCCCGGAGAUGGGCACUGAGACAAGGGCCCAGGCCCUAUGGGGCGCAGCAGGCGCGAAACCUCUGCAAUAGGCGAAAGCUUGACAGGGUUACUCUGAGUGAUUCCCGCUAAGGGAAUCUUUUGGCAUCUCUAAAAACGAUGCAGAAUAAGGGGUGGGCAAGUCUGGUGUCAGCCGCCGCGGUAAUACCAGCACCCCGAGUGGUCGGGACGAUUAUUGGGCCUAAAGCAUCCGUAGCCGGUCUUGCAAGUCUUCCGUUAAAUCCACCUGCUUAACAGAUGGGCUGCGGAAGAUACUACAAGACUAGGAGGCGGGAGAGGCAAGCGGUACUCAGUGGGUAGGGGUAAAAUCCUCUGAUCCAUUGAAGACCACCAGUGGCGAAGGCGGCUUGCCAGAACGCGCUCGACGGUGAGGGAUGAAAGCUGGGGGAGCAAACCGGAUUAGAUACCCGGGUAGUCCCAGCUGUAAACGAUGCAGACUCGGUGAUGGGCCGGCUUCAUGCCGGCUCAGUGCCGCAGGGAAGCCGUUAAGUCUGCCGCCUGGGGAGUACGGUCGCAAGACUGAAACUUAAAGGAAUUGGCGGGGGAGCACCACAAGGGGUGAAGCCUGCGGUUC
rnacentral:rRNA from 1 species